rnacentral:rRNA from 1 species
AACGAACGCUGGCGGCAUGCCUAACACAUGCAAGUCGAACGAGACCUUCGGGUCUAGUGGCGCACGGGUGCGUAACGCGUGGGAACCUGCCCUUAGGUUCGGAAUAACUCCCCGAAAGGGGUGCUAAUACCGGAUAAUGUCUUCGGACCAAAGAUUUAUCGCCUUUGGAUGGGCCCGCGUUGGAUUAGCUAGUUGGUAGGGUAAAAGCCUACCAAGGCGACGAUCCAUAGAUGGUCUGAGAGGAUGAUCGGCCACACUGGGACGGAGAGACGGCCCAAACUGCUACGGGAGGGAGCAGUAGGGAAUCUUCCGGAAUGGAGGGAAGUGGGACGGAGAAAAGCCGCGUGAGUGAAGAAGGUUUUCGGAUCGUAAAAAUCUGUUGUUAGAGAAGAAUAAGUGCUAGAGUAACUGUUAGCGCCUUGAAGGUAUCUAAACAGAAAGCCACGGCUAACUACGUG